rnacentral:tRNA from 1 species
UUUAAAAAAAAUAUUUUUUUAGUAGAAAUAAGGUUUUAUUUACAUUAAAGUUUGGCUUAAGAG